CUUUUUUGUCUGUUUAUGUUGGUGGGAUGGGCUUUUAAUAAAGCUCUUUUAGCUUGAGUAGUAACCCAUUGUUUGGAGGAGUAUUUGGAAUGCAAAGUCUCUUCUGGAGGUUGUGCUGCGUUGGCUUAUUGGAAAUGCAGGUCUAUGAAGAUUUGGAAAGAUAGAUGGAUUCCAAGGCCUUACUCUUACAAAGCUAUUUGUGUUUCCAAAGUCCUCCAUGCCGAUGCUAAGGCUUUCUCAUGACAUACUGGUUUGGCACUUCACUAAAAGUGGCCUUUUUUUAUGUUAAGUUGGCAUAUCAUUUGGAGAUGGAUUUGUGAAGCAGAGAAACACCAGUCAGUUCAGAUGAUGGGAGUUUUGAAAGGGCGUUUUCAAGGAAGAUUUGGCAGCUGAAAAUUCUAAAUAAAGUGAAAAUAUUCUCAUGGAAAACAUGUUCGAAUAUCUUUCCUGUUCAAUCAAAGUUGAGGAGGCCCAGCUCAAAAUUUUCUUUUCUUGAUUCAGGAGUUUAGCCAACAAAUGGAUGUGUUGCGUUUGGGAUUAUUGUUUUUCAUUUGCUGAAGUAUUUUGAACAAUUGCAAUGAUUGCGUUUUAACUAGAAGAGUCAAUCAGCAGAGGAUGUUGCUAGGCAAGUCGCUGAUUACUUACAACACAGCUCAAGAUCACUACUCCUGUUCAGCAAAAAGAUGUUUCCAGUUGCCAGUUGGAGGGCUUUGAUGGAAGGCUUUGUUGUUGUGGAAACAAACUUUAGGAUGUAUUCAUAAUCAUUGUCUAAACCACAUUGCAAGAUUUUGUGCUCUUCUCAUGCUA